GGUGCUAUAGUGUAGUGGUUAUCACUCGGGAUUUUGAUGCUAAACUAUCAACCUUCCCGAAACCCAGGUUCGAACCCUGGUAGCACCU